rnacentral:lncRNA from 1 species
UUGAACCGAUUGUCUAGGCAUGCCGACAAAUUAUAAGAAUUAUGAAAACUACAAUAAAUAUACAAGCAAAUGGAUAAAUAAACAAGGUUUAGAUUUUGAAUGCAUUUUACUUACAAGAACAAAUCUAUAUGCUGAUGAAUUUUUGACAAUUAUCUUUAGGUGCUUAGUUUCUAUUGCACUUUGCGAGUUGUUCAUAUUAGAUGCUAUUUGAUGAUUUAUAUUAUUCAUGCAACCAAUUUUGUUCUUGUUCAUUCUAGAUGUAUUCUCUCAUCAUUCAUGCAAUCAAUUUUGUUCUUGUUUAUUGUAGAUGUAU